UAGUCCACGCCGUAAACGAUGAAUACUAGGUGUAGGGGGUAUCGACCCCCUCUGUGCCGCAGCUAACGCAAUAAGUAUUCCGCCUGGGGAGUACGACCGCAAGGUUGAAACUCAAAGGAAUUGACGGGUCCCCGCACAAGCAGCGGAGCAUGUUGUUUAAUUCGAAGCAACGCGAAGAACCUUACCAGGGCUUGACAUCCACAGAAUCCGAUGGAAACAUUGGAGUGCCCUUCGGGGAAUUGUGAGACAGGUGGUGCAUGGUUGUCGUCAGCUCGUGUCGUGAGAUGUUGGGUUAAGUCCCGCAACGAGCGCAACCCUUGUGUUUAGUUACCAGCAAGUAAUGUUGGGGACUCUAGACAGACUGCCGGUGAUAAACCGGAGGAAGGUGGGGACGACGUCAAAUCAUCAUGCUCCUUACGUCCUGGGGCUACAAACGUGCUACAAUGGGCCAUUACAAAGGGGAAGCC
rnacentral:rRNA from 1 species